ensembl:lncRNA
GGUUAGUGUUCCUGAUAGGAUUGGUUGAGAAUUACUGGCCCAAAUUCAUCCUUCAAUAUUAUCCAUCCUGGAGAUUUUGUAAUCUUAGCUUCUAUGUUUGGAUCUAUGACUUAUUUCAAGUACAUUUUGUUAUUGGUUGUGAAGUAAAGUGUCAGGUAAGGGAUUUCUUUUUUCCAUGCAAAUAUCCAUUCAUUUUGGCGUCAUUUGUUGGAAAAGAUAUUAUUUCCUCACUGAUUACCUCAGCUUCUUUUUCAGAAGUCACUGGACCAUGUAUGGGUCUACGUUUUAAUUAAUAGAUUAAUUUUGGAAGACUUUAUAUCUGAAAAAUACUGAAACUUUCAUACCACAGGUACAAAAUGUCUCCAUACUUUUACAUCAUUAAUAAUCUAUGUAGUAAUUUGUAGUUUUCCAUGUACAUGUCUUGAACAUAUUUUCUAAAAUUCAACUAAAUGUUUCAUUUUUAAAUGCUAUUAUAAGUGGAAUUUUACAUUUGAAUUUUUAUAUUAAUAAUAAUACAAUUGAUUUUGGCCAUAUCCAGUGCAUCAUAAAAAGCUCUUUAAAUCAUUUCAACUAGCUCAUAUGCUGAUCCUUAGGCUUUUCUAGGUACAAAUCAUGCUACAUAAAAAUAGUCUCACUCCUGCUUUUUCAAUCUGUAUGCCUUUUACUAUUUUCUUGUCACUUAGCUCUGGCAAAGACCUUUAGUAAAAAGUUGGCUAGAAGGGUGAGGGUACAGAUUUUUGCCUUGUUUCUGAUCAGGAUGGAAAGGCUGCCCUUCAUUCACAUCCCCAAGUUUGACAGUGGCUAAGGUUUCCAGUCCAUACUCAGCCUGAGAUGAAGGCAGCUUCUUUCUCCUGCUGAGAAUUUUGCUAAAAGCUUUUGUGACUGAAAAGCAUUAAAUUAUGGCAAAUGCAUUUUCUGCAUCUAUUUAAAUACACAUAAUUUACUUUCUUUCAUAAACAUGUUGAAUUAUAUUGACUUAUUUUUUUUUAAUGUUAAAUCACUUUCACAGCCCUGGCAUACAGUCCAAUUAGUCUUGAUUUAUUACCCUUGACUCAGUUCGCUAAUAUUUGAUAAGUGUUUUUGUAUCCAGUAGUCAACAAUACUCUACUAUGCACUGAUUUUUUAAAAUGUAGAACUCACAGUUCAGUGUUCUUACUAUGCACAUGCACACACACAUGCACACACACACAGACGCAUACACACGGACACAAGAUAAUAAUUCUGAAAUCUAAAGACUAAGCCAUCUGAGAAAGAACCCUAAAUAUUUCCAUAUUAAUGCCUGCUUCCCAUGAUACGACUGGGCAUUCCUGGAUCUUCUUUUGUUCACUGAAUUCUCCAUGCUCCAGGUAACCAGACCAACCUCUCAUGAAGGCAUUUACUGCACAGGCGGACAGAACAGUGGCUCCAUGAAUACCAGUUUCACAGUCGAGGAUAUCUGGUAUUUCCAGUGAUGUUUAGAGUUCAGUGGGUUUAUGGUUCCAUGACAUCUUAUUAUUUCAGGUUGUCUGCCAGUCUUCAUAGAAGCAGCAGCAAAUCUUCUGGCUGUCUGAUUCUCAGGCCAGGAGAUUAUAUUCGAACUCUCCAGGUUCUCCAGCCUGUCAGAUGCAGAG